UUUCUUUUUCUCUUAAUUAUUAGUGUAAUAAUAUGAAGCCAAUAGCUCUUUACAUUGACCUGGUGUUUGAUGCAUUCUGGACGCUGUCCUGUCUGUAACUCAAGUCUCAGAUUGUAAGAUGUUAUGAAAGCUGGUGUGGACUGCAGCUAGACUUCAGGUCGUAUUCAUGUACUGUAACUUAUUAGUGACAUUACACCCCCCCCCCCCCCCCAAACCUGACUCAUGAAGUGAAUGUCUGUUUUCUUACCCCAGCAGCAUGCAUGCUGUGUUUGCUCCUGGGCGUUGAUGGGAAUUUGGCCAGCUGACUCAGUGGAUUUUAUUUAGCCGUGUGUGUGUCUUCUUAUCAGCAUUAGCUUAUGGCCCCUAUUGUAAUGGCUGCAGUUAACACACUUGGGCAGCUUAUCCGCACAAAACCUGUGGCUUAACUCUAGAUUCUCUAGAUUCCCAGGAUCUAUCCUCUUGUGCCCCAUUUUUUUUAAUUCUAAUAAAGUGUUACCGUAUAUUUUUAGUGCGUCAGAAAUUUGGCUGCAGCAUCAGUGCGUGGUUGUAAUGAAAUGGUGUGGAACUGGUUGCUCGGGUUUCGACCAAGAAGCAGAAAAUGCAACUAGACUAUUGAUGAAGUGAUUUCAUGCGUUUGUGUCAUAUAAACUGUAAUUGUCCUAACAUUCUUCUUAAUUUACUAAACUGGUUGAAUGAUCUGCUGAAGUUUAGCAUUUUGUUCUCAUGCGCACAUAAGAUUUUUCUCAGAAGGUUUCCUAAAUUCCAAAGUAUAAUGCUUGGGCCUCUCACCAAGGUACAGUAUGUUACUAAUGGUACUAUAGUGACAGUAACCCAUUGUUUAACUGAUGUCUCGUUGUAAAAACAAUAAAGUUAAUGAAGUGAAACAAAAAGGAA